rnacentral:rRNA from 1 species
UACGAAGGGUGCAAGCGUUACUCGGAAUUACUGGGCGUAAAGCGUGCGUAGGUGGUGCGUUAAGUCUGUCGCGAAAGCCCCGGGCUCAACCUGGGAAUGGCGAUGGGUACUGGCUCGCUAGAGUGCGGUAGAGGAGAGUGGAAUUCCCGGUGUAGCAGUGAAAUGCGCAGAUAUCAGGAGGAACACCUAUGGCGAAGGCAGCUCGCUGGGACGGUACUGACGCUCAGGCGCGAAAGCGUGGGGAGCGAACAGG